GGCGGCGCGCUUAACACAUGCAAGUCGAGCGAGAACCAGGCCUUCGGGCCUGGGGAAAGCGGCGAACGGGUGAGUAACACGUGGGUAACCCACCCUUGGUACCGGGAUAGCCCGGGGAAACCCGGAUUAAUACCGGAUGGCCCAACAGCUCUUCGGGGCGGUUGGAAAAGGUAGCUUCGGCCUCCGACCAAGGACGGGCCCGCGGCGGAUUAGCUUGUUGGCGGGGUAACGGCCCACCAAGGCGACGAUCCGUAGCUGGUCUGAGAGGACGAUCAGCCACACUGGGACUGAGACACGGCCCAGACUCCUACGGGAGGCAGCAGUGGGGAAUCUUGCGCAAUGGGCGAAAGCCUGACGCAGCGACGCCGCGUGGGGGAAGAAGGCUUUCGGGUUGUAAACCCCUUUCAGGAAGGACGAAGCCACUCGGGUUAAUAGCCCAGAGGGUGACGGUACUUCCAGAAGAAGCCCCGGCUAACUACGUGCCAGCAGCCGCGGUAAUAC
rnacentral:rRNA from 1 species